rnacentral:tRNA from 1 species
GCUACGGACUUAAAAAAUCCGUCGACUUUAAAAAUCGUGAGGGUUCAAGUCCCUCUAUCCCCA